rnacentral:tRNA from 1 species
CCCUGGCAGCCCAGAUGGUGAAGGAUCUGCCUGCAGUGCAGGAGACCCAGGUUCAACUCCUGGGUCAGGAA